rnacentral:rRNA from 1 species
AGACCGCGGUAUUUCUGACUGUGCAAAGGUAGCAUAAUCGUUAGUUUUUUAAUUGAAAUCUUGUAUGAAUGGUUUGACAAAAAAAAGACUGUCUUUAUAAUUAUUAAUUGAAUUUAACUUUUAAGUGAAAAGGCUUAAAUAAAUUAAAAAGACGAUAAGACCCUAUAAAGCUUAAUAUUAAUUUAUUAUUUAAUAAAAUUAUUAGUGUAUAAAUAUUUGGUAGUAAAUGUUAUUUUAUUGGGGUGAUAAUGGUAAAAUGAUUCUUAACUGUUAAUUUGGUUAGAACAAAAAUAAAUGAAUAACAAAUUUUAUUUAAUAAAUGAUCCUAUUUAGAGAUUUAAAGUUUAAGUUACUUUAGGGAUAACAGCGUAAUUUUUUUUGAGAGUUCUUAUCGAGAAAAAAGUUUGCGACCUCGAUGUUGAAUUAAAAUAUCGUAUAUAAUUGUAGCAGUUAUAUAAGAAGGUCUGUUCGACCUUUAAA